UUGUUCACAUCGUGGAUACAGACUAUGACGAAUACAACAUUUUCCACAUGGAAAACAAGGGGAAGAAGAUCCUCUAUCUGGAUUCUAGGGAAUCCAGAGUCUCAGCUACAGUGAAGAAACACUUCAAGAACCUGGCUUUUGCUUUGGGAUUCCCUGUGGACAGGAUCCGCUAUGUGCCCCCAAAUGAGUCAUGCUCAUAGUCUUUAUCAAAGAAGCCCAGCCAGGUAAAUCUGAAGAACUGUGGAAGAGAACAUCUGGAGAAGGGGAGAUCUUCAUAGAACCCAUGUUUACUAUGCAGCUAAUAAAGCCAAGCUGUCAUGAUUGGC